UCGAAAAGAGGAUAUUUCAUUCAAUGAUAGCAUAAAAGCUAGUAAUUACACCAUGUGUAGAAAACUACCCACUAUUGGGGUAAAGUACAGAGUUACUGCAAAAUCUAACAAAUACAUCUCUUAAGCACAUGAUUUGCUCCUGACUUAUACAUCUAACAUAUCAUGGUUACAAAGCCUUCGCUAAGAUCCACCAGAGGGCAGCAAAGACCCAGCACAGUACCACAUCCUAAACAGAAAAUUGAAUUAAAGAACAACAAACCAGAACACCACUAGAAGCUAAGAAGAUACAACACCAACACAAAGUGAAAGUCUUAGAAUCAAGCCUUGGACUAGCAUCUAACUUUGAACCUGCACAA
rnacentral:lncRNA from 1 species